rnacentral:rRNA from 1 species
AUUGAACGCUGGCGGCAUGCCUUACACAUGCAAGUCGAACGGCAGCGGACCUUCGGGUGCCGGCGAGUGGCGAACGGGUGAGUAAUGUAUCGGAACGUACCUUUCAGUGGGGGAUAACGUAGCGAAAGUUACGCUAAUACCGCAUAUUCUGUGAGCAGGACAGCAGGGGAUCGCAAGACCUUGCGCUGAUUGGGCGGCCGAUAUCAGAUUAGCUAGUUGGUGAGGUAAAGGCUCACCAAGGCGACGAUCUGUAGCGGGUCUGAGAGGAUGAUCCGCCACACUGGAACUGAGGCACGGUCCAGACUCCUACGGGAGGCAGCAGUGGGGAAUUUUGGACAAUGGGGGCAACCCUGAUCCAGCCAUGCCGCGUGAGUGAAGAAGGCCUUCGGGUUGUAAAGCUCUUUCGUCCGGGAAGAAAUCGCAUCAGCUAAUACCUGGUGUGGAUGACGGUACCGGAAUAAGAAGCACCAGCUAACUACGUGCCAGCCGCCGCGGUAAUAC